rnacentral:rRNA from 1 species
CCCCUUAGAUGUUCUGGGCCGCACGCGUGCUACACUGACCGGCGCAACAAGUUUCUUUCCUUGGCUCGAUAGGCCUGGGUAAUCUUUGAACGCCGGUCGUGAUGGGGAUAGAUCCUUGCAAUUUUUGAUCUUCAACGAGGAAUUCCUAGUAAAUGCGAGUCAUCAUCUCGCGUUGAUUACGUCCCUGCCCUUUGUACACACCGCCCGUCGCACCUACCGAUUGAAUGGUCCGGUGAAGCCUCGGGAUUGCGAAUGCUUCGUGCGGACGCGAGAACUUGGCUAAACCUUACCAUUUAGAGGAAGGUGAAGUCGUAACA